rnacentral:rRNA from 1 species
UACGUAGGCAGCAAGCGUUGUUCGGAGUUACUGGGCGUAAAGGGUGUGUAGGCGGUUAUUUAAGUCGGAUGUGAAAGCCCCGGGCUCAACCUGGGAAUUGCAUUCGAGACUGAAUAGCUAGGGUGCGGUAGAGGGAAGCGGAAUUUCCGGUGUAGCGGUGAAAUGCGUAGAUAUCGGAAGGAACAUCAGUGGCGAAAGCGGCUUCCUGGACCAGCACCGACGUUCAGGCACGAAAGCGUGGGGAGCAAACAGG